UAAAAAAGGAAAGAAAGAAAAAUAGUGUUAUUACAGGUUCCUCAGAGACUGUUGGGAGGGGGAGUGUUGGUGGAAAGGAAAGAAGGCAGGUGAAAGGGAUCUUGAAUGAGACUUUGAAGCUUACCAGGAAAAGUAUGUUUUGUGACAGUUACCAUAGUUCAUUUGUGUUUCUGUCCUUGUUUUCAGAAUUUUCCCCAGAGAAUACCUCCUUCAACAGAUCCACCUGUAUUCCCUUGCUGAUCUGCAGCAGGUGAUAGAGGGGAAGCUGGCUCCAUUCUUGGGCAAGGUCAUUAAAUUUGCCACCUCACACGUGUACAGCUGCAGUCUUUGUAGCCAAAAGGGGUUCAUCUGUGAAAUCUGUAACAAUGGAGAGAUCCUCUACCCUUUUGAGGAUAUUUCAACAAGCAGGUGUGAAGGCUGUGGAGCCGUUUUCCACUCGGAAUGCAAAGAAAAGUCCGUGCCCUGCCCGAGGUGUGUCCGCCGAGAGCUGCAGAAGAAGCAGAAGUCUUUCUGGCGGAGGCUGAACAUGGACGAGAGCCUGGAGGAGGCUUGCACCAUGUUCGAGCUGUCCUACCAGAGCACCUGACUCCACAGGAGCCCGGGCCAGGGACUGACCUCUCACCGAUCCAUCAGCCCGGCGGCUUCCUGCGCCGCCAGUUAGACCCCUUGGGAGGAGGACUAUGCCUCAUCUUCAGCUAGCUAUAGAUACAUAUUUACAUACAUGUACACACAUGCCGAUACGUCCCGUCUGUACGUUCUGUGUAAAUUGCUGUCCAAAAGGUCCGCACAGCCCCUGUGGCUCAGAGAAACGGCCAGUAGCUGAACUGCACUUAGCCAUGACUUUCAGCAGUUUGUUCCCAAGUGAAACCGUGGUUUACACACAAUGCUUUACAUAGUUCAUAUUUUUUUCCCUAGUUUUGUUUUGCUUUAUUGUUGUUUGGCUCUCAGGAGCCAUUUGAGUACGCAGGACACAGGAGGAAGCAUUUCCCACAGAAGCACGGAACUUCGGGUUCGGUUUGUGUUAUUUAUUCUGAGCCUUCACAGAGGAUACAGUAACUGAGGCAAGCCCUCCUGGGCGUCUGUGUCACAAGAAAUUUCCAGAACAUGGGGAUGGACGACUCCGGGUCACCGCAGUUUGUCCCGCACAGGUGGGGACCGCCUCAGCUGAGCCGAGCGGCCCAGAAAUGAGGAGUGGGGGCUCCCUCUGACAGAAAGCAUGCACCCGUACUUUAUGAGGAGAGCUCCUUCUGGUUUGGAAGUUAAUCUCAGGGGUUUUUUUCCUGAGGGGAAACAGAGAGAGAGAGACCUCUGCGACAUGUUGCCGGUCUGUUUGCUGGUACAAUCCCCAGCGCCACCUAAGGGUGUGACGCCCCAGCACAUUUGGGGGAAAACAUGGCUUUCUGAAGAGCAGUUUUCCCAGGGUUUUAUGGGUAAUAUUUAUGAUUUUCUUACACGGUGCUGGCCUGAGGAAAUUUCCUACAAUUGUGGUCAAACACAUGGGUUUGUAGACCGUGGUGAUCGUACACACAUUCUGUGGGACGACGUUCAGUUUCUUGUCACAGGAUCUUAUACAGACAUUCCCUACCUAUUUAUUUUAAAUGCUUUAUUUCUCAUUGUUCCUCAUUGCACUUUCACUUUGGCCUUUAAUUUGUCAAUUUAACCACUUCUGCUUUCACAUUUUUAAAAUUGUUUACAAAAUCAAAGUCACAUGGGACUUCAAAACACCAAUGUUAGACUCUUAAGAAAAUACCAAACUUACAAAUAUAAUUAAUGAACUAAAUGUGAUAAUAUUGUUUAAAUAGGUGUAUAUAUACAUACACACACACACACACAAUUGCCACCUUGAUGUGAAACAAAAGUGCUAAAAUCGUAUCCUAGAAAUAGGAAACAUAAUGAAUCACUUCACCACUCGGUAGAGCCAUGCCCCCCGCCCCCCGCCCCCCGCCAGGCCUGAGCUGACGUGGUAACCAAAAUGUCAGGCAAGCCGGCGCUGGCAGUCAACGCUCCGUUCCUUCCACCACACUCUUCCCAGAGCAGAAAGAUACACUGAUAAUGAAGCAACUUUCAACAGGCCAUAUGAGAAGAUUCUGUAUGUUUCCACUGAGCAGACCCCUCCAAGGCCUUCGUGGUUUGGUAGUGUCACUGCUGUUGGGACCUAGGGACUCAGUGACUCACGAAGCACAGGAUACAUUUAACCCCGUCACUGCUUCGCCCCCGCACCUUACUCCCUCCAGAUCCUAACUCUUGAUACCUCUGUCCAUGUAGACACGUGCCAUUCCAGAUUGACUUUUGCGCGGACUGCUGGAUACAAACAUUUCACCUCUCAACCCACACCAGUUCCUUUGGCCCCGGACCACACAUUUCCGCUUACUAGCUCGCCACCACACACACACAUCUUUUCUGACUCUGCAGCAGCUGCAACCAAGGGCACAAAAACUUGUUACGAGGCCAAGACCCCAUUCAUGAGGCACCUUACGGUGCCUUUUAUUCGCGGAAAAAAACAGGUUGACUUCCCCCCGCCCCAACUCCAGUCAUAGAGAACAUUGCACACAAAGAUAAAGGGUGGAAAAUCUCAAACAAGCACUUGGCUAACAGGCAAACAAAUUUGAUCCUCUCCCCCUUUUCCCUCCCCUUCGUGAAAUACAGUAUUUAUAUUUUCCAGCCUCAGAGAAGAUAGCAGAACAUGAUCUUUCACAAGAGAAUUAUAGACCUGCUUAUUAUAAAACAGAUGUGCUCUGAUGGCAAAGUGCCUUCUCCCUCCGCCCGCAGCUCCCCGGCCUGCAGCUUACUUCUGCCCGCGCUGUAAUUAACGUGCCGGUGAUCGGCUGGUCAGCGAGGCCGGCUCCAGCACCCUGCACUGGGGGGCCCGAAGUGCGCGCCCCCCCGCCCCCUGUAGCGUGCUUGCUCUACGUACAGAAUCUCCUGUCCCACCUCCUAGGCACCUAGCAUCAGGCCUGCCAAGAGGGGGACAUUGGACCCCUGUUCUAAAGGCCUUUGUUCUCACGGACGCCCCUUUAGAGGGCCUUGCUCAACACUGGCAUUCCCUGCACACUCCAAAGGACACCUUUCUACCCACAUCAUUUUCUGAUUAUUUUCAAAAGGAAAAAAAAAAACACGUAGACGUACUAUCGCCAUCGGCUACCCAGAAGCAGAACGGCAUCCCAGCUGCUUCUGUUUUCUCGCCUUUUCUAUGUCCCUGACGGCCUGGCCGGCGCUGUCCGCUGGCCCACACAGCGGUCAGCCACCACCACCAAAAUCUGAUAGGACAGAGUGGAGCCAGCUUACGAAUUGGGUCUGUCAUGAAAAUUCAAAAUUGCUAUUUUCCAGCCCAGAAAUGCCUUAGAGCACAUGAACGCCCUUACUGUUUUCAACCCAAACAAAUGAGUCGGUACAGUUAGGUAAUUGUCCCACGGCUUAGAAACUGUCGAAACAAAAGCAGAUCUGUGGAUUGCCACCUCCUUAAGAUCCAAGCUAAUACCUGCCUUCCCUCCCGCUCCCUUUCUCAUCCCAUAUUAAAUAUCUCACACAUAAAACACAUGAGAAAAUGGCCAAUUAAUCUCCUAGAGCCCGCGCCUGACUCUGGGGAAACUCUUUUCACUUGAAAGGCCCAUUCCCUGGUGUAUCACUUGAGGAAAUCCCUCCUAACAGUGCCAGAAACGCGUGUGUGAGACAGUCCGACCCUGGUACAAUGUUGGCAUCCAACGCUGCAGUGGAGAAGCCAGUUCCCAAAAUAGAGCUCAGUUGUACGGCUGCAGGAAGGCCACAAAGCACUUUAAAAGCAGUCAACUGGAAUCGAGUCGUGUUCUUUCCGGGGCUGAUUUUCCCCAAAGUUGAAAGCCUCUUUGUAUGAAAGCCAUGUAAACUCUCCUUGUGCCCCUUUGCCUUGCUGCCUUUCCAGGGGACUGAGUUCCAGCCAUUUCCAUAUCUGUAGCCCUAAACGGUAAUAUUUUAGGAGCUUGAAUACUUGAUUAGCUGAGAAGGUAAUCACUUUUUAAUUCUACUAGACCAGACUGCCACCAAAAAAAAGGGGGGCGGGGGGAAUAUGAUAAAUGUUUGGGAUUUGUGGUUUCCAGCUAACUCAGUGGUACUUCAGACUCCUGCAAGGGAACUGUGCCAUGAUUUCCUCCUGGCUGCAGUGAGAACCCCGGUGUUGACCUCGCUCUAGCUGCCCUAGACAGCCUUUGCUAAACAGAUGAGUGAGUCCACUCGGAUGAGCUCUGACCUCCAGCUUUGUCUCUGCAUGGGUACACACUGAAUACACACUGAACACUGACCCUGGACAGUUUCUUCCUGUGCUUCCUUGAAAAGGCGUGGCUUCCAGACCUGUGGGUUUGCCCCCUACCUGUUGGCCAAAAAACGUCAUGCGUAAAUUAUCAUAUCAGGACACGACUGGAUACCACACUGAACACUUCUGCAAAGAGAGGUGUUACUGGAGGAGGCCAAGAUAUGUUUUGUUCCUAAUUUAGGGUAAAGCCAAUGCUGCUGUUCACAAGUUUGGGCAGAAUUCUUCAUCUCCACUGUUCUGCUGCACUUAUUGGAAUAACUGGAUUCAGAAAUCAAUCUUCUGCUCUUGAUUCUAAUAUUCUCUAGAGUCAGUUCAGAGGUGAUUUUAUUUUAUUUUUAUACUUCUCCCACUAAAGAGAGUUGCAUACAGUUUUCCCCCUUAUUUUUUGAAUUUUCUGUCUCAAUACUUUUCUUACUCUUAAAAUAACAUCAAAAAGUAGAGAACUGGGGGCAAAACUGAAAGAAAUGAACUCUCUCUCCUUGGCAUGAAUUGAGUCUGUAGAGGUACUGUUUUCCUUCCCUUGGUACUUGUUAACAACUGAGCAUUCCUGCAUUAUCCACUGUGGACCAUUCUUCUGACCUGAGUCUAGUACAGCUCACUCACUGCUCUAGGUUGAGCCCAGGAUGGGUGAAAAGCUCUACUUGAUUGAUGUAAGCAGACAAGUGUUGAUUUCUAUCAUGGGGGACAGUUGAGUCCUAGCACCCAGCACUUCCUAAAGGUAGACAAUUCUAAUUUCAUUGUAUUCAGACCCUCUGACUUGAGGGGUUUUCUUUCGUGUGUCUUAGUGGAUGCACGCCAAGGUAAAGUCGAAGUCACUGUUAAACUCUAGGUAAAAGUCAAAGGUGUGGAAUGUCCUCCUCAGCACACCCGUUGUUGUCAGAGGCUUUAUUUAAAGUGGGUUCCUGAUGGUCACGUUACGUGGCACUCUCCUCAAGUGACCUCCGAUGUGGUGGAAGUCAGUGUUAAGCACAAGGGAAGGGACAACAGCUGUUUUGUUUUGGUUCCUCCCUGUGGAAAGAGAAGCCAUCUUGUCAGGAGGUGUGAAAGAAGCCACAAUCGUUGCCUAGGGUAGAAGGUUCAGGCGCCUACAGCAGUUCGCUUGUAGCACAGUGAAGACUCCUUUCUCCUGGCCAUAGCGUUGCAGACCAGCCUCUCUCCCCCACCCUUGAUCUUCCCCGCCCUAGUCCAGAGUCCAGGCCAGCUUCAGGCCUCAGGGCUGUAACCCGACCGGCAGACCUGGAGUGGGUGCCCCCUCUCCCACCUGCCUUUCCCAGUAGGAGUGCCUUACAGUACUGCCUAGUGCUUCUAGUCUCCUCUGCUCUCCACUUGAAGCCUGCAGGGCCCUUCACCUAGACCCGGGUCACUUUGCUUCCUCCCUGCUGGCCACUCUUUUUACAGAUGCUCUCGGAACCUGCAUAUUCCACAUGCAUGUCAGACUUUCACCCUUGUUUAACCUGGUGCCUUAACCUCACGAGUAAAGGAUUCCGUUGGGAAGACACGGUUAAUGUGGAAGGGUAGAAACACGGGCUUCUUAGCUCCAUCGACACUUUUACCAGGAAAUACAAAAGACACAACUGCAUAAUAUUUGAACUUUGUGUUAGGCUGGUUUUUUGUUUUUUUUUUUGUAAUCACUCUUUUUAUUUGUUUGUUUGCUUGCUUUCAUGAACCAAACUCAGGGGAAUGUCAUGAUGUUACCAUAGCCAAUGAGUAGAGAUUAUCCGGAUUUGAAUCUGUAAAGUUGGUGAACUUAGCCUCCUUCAGGCUAAAAAAUUAUACAAAAACAAUUUUCUUUUCUUUUACCGUAUAAAGGUUUUCCUUUUACGCUUUGCCACCUGUUUUCCAGGUAGAAAGUAGGAAGCCUCUUGAGUACAUUGUGAUGAAAGCGUUUCCAUGUGGCAUGGACAGUCUAGUGAGCUAUUAAGUUCCACUUUUGCCGCUGGAGGCCUAGGUUCUGAUUUCGGUCACCUACCAGAAUCUUGUUUUGAAUGGGCAGAAGCACACUGUAGAAGAUUGGGGGCUGGGGGCAAGAGGAAUCUGUCUUAAAUGAACAGUACAAGGAGGGAAAAUGUUUAAUUUGCAAACGAAGAGCAUCGAACAUGGUGGUCGGCGCACAAGACUUCCACUCAACUUGUUCUCCUGCUCCUGGGUCAGAUCCGUGUCGUCCUCCCUCCUUUCUGCUCAUGCAUGACAGAACUCACUAGAAUUCUGGGUUUGGGCAAUUAUCUCACUCUAUGUUGAGCUACUUGAAAUAGCUAAUGUGCUGUAUAUGCUGUUUCUAUUUUCUGGAGUUUGUUGCCUUUCAUUUUAGCAUAACUUAUCCAUAUUGUUCAUAUUAUUUUUAAAUAUCGGUAAUUAUAAUAAUAUAAAACAAAGUUGUGUUGUUGACAAGAGCCCUAGAUUUUAUGGUCUUCUGUCAUAUAAUUUAAGUGCACCAGUUCCCGAUGUAUAAAGUUUCUCUCUCUCUCAAUAAACAAUUCAGAAAAUA